GACGAACGCUGGCGGCGUGCCUAAUACAUGCAAGUUGAGCGAUGAAGCUUGGUGCUUGCACCAAUUUGAAGAGCAGCGAACGGGUGAGUAACGCGUGGGGAAUCUGCCUUUGAGCGGGGGACAACAUUUGGAAACGAAUGCUAAUACCGCAUAACAACUUUAAACAUAAGUUUUAAGUUUGAAAGAUGCAAUUGCAUCACUCAAAGAUGAUCCCGCGUUGUAUUAGCUAGUUGGUGAGGUAAAGGCUCACCAAGGCGAUGAUACAUAGCCGACCUGAGAGGGUGAUCGGCCACAGUGGGACUGAGACACGGCCCAAACUCCUACGGGAGGCAGCAGUAGGGAAUCUUCGGCAAUGGACGAAAGUCUGACCGAGCAACGCCGCGUGAGUGAAGAAGGGUUUCGGAUCGUAAAACUCUGUUGGUAGAGAAGAACGUUGGUGAGAGUGGAAAGCUCAUCAAGUGACGGUAACUACCCAGAAAGGGACGGCUAACUACGUG
rnacentral:rRNA from 1 species